rnacentral:piRNA from 1 species
GGAACUGGAAUGGUGCAGGCUGC